rnacentral:rRNA from 1 species
GACGAACGCUGGCGGCGUGCUUAACACAUGCAAGUCGAACGGAAAGGCCCCCUUGUGGGGUACUCGAGUGGCGAACGGGUGAGUAACUCGUGAGUAACCUACCCUUGACUUUGGGAUAACUUCAGGAAACUGGGGCUAAUACCGGAUAGGAGCUCCUGCUGCAUGGUGGGGGUUGGAAAGUUUCGGCGGUUGGGGAUGGACUCGCGGCUUAUCAGCUUGUUGGUGGGGUAGUGGCUCACCAAGGCUUUGACGGGUAGCCGGCCUGAGAGGGUGCCCGGCCACAUGGGUACUGAGGUACGGACCAGACGGCAACGGGAGGCAGCAGUGGGGAGUAUUGCACAAUGGGCGGAAGUCUGAGGCAGCAACGCCGCGUGCGGAAUGACGGCCUUCGGGUUGUAAACCGCUUUCGCCUGUUACGAAGCGUGAGUGACGGUAGUGGGUAAAGAAGCACCGGCUAACUACGUG